UACGGAGGGUGCGAGCGUUGUCCGGAAUCAUUGGGCGUAAAGGGCGCGUAGGCGGCCUGGUAAGUCGGGGGUGAAAUCCUGCGGCUUAACCGCAGGGCUGCCUUCUAAACUGUCAGGCUGGAGCACAGUAGAGGCAGGUGGAAUUUCCGGUGUAGCGGUGGAAUGCGUAGAGAUCGGGAAGAACAUCAGUGGCGAAGGCGGCGUUCUGGACUGUUUCUGACACUGUAAAACGAAAGCCAGGGGAGCAAACGGG
rnacentral:rRNA from 1 species